rnacentral:tRNA from 2 species
GGCCCGAUAGUCUAGAGGCAUGAUUCUCGCUUAGGGUGCGAGAGGUCCCGGGUUCAAUUCCCGGUCGGGCCC